UCAAGUCGAACGCUGGAAGCCUAGGGUGCUUGCACCGGGUGGAUGAGUGGCGAACGGGUGAGUAACACGUGUAGUAACCUGCCCCUGACUUCGGGAUAAGCCCGGGAAACUGGGUCUAAUACCGGAUACGACUGCCGGACGCAUGUCUGGUGGUGGAAAGUUUUUUCGGUUGGGGAUGGGCUCGCGGCCUAUCAGUUUGUUGGUGAGGUAAUGGCUCACCAAGACGACGACGGGUAGCCGGCCUGAGAGGGCGACCGGCCACACUGGGACUGAGACACGGCCCAGACUCCUACGGGAGGCAGCAGUGGGGAAUAUUGCACAAUGGGGGAAACCCUGAUGCAGCGACGCAGCGUGCGGGAUGACGGCCUUCGGGUUGUAAACCGCUUUCAGCAGGGAAGAAGCGCAAGUGACGGUACCUGCAGAAGAAGUACCGGCUAACUACGUGCCAGCAGCCGCGGUAAUACGUAGGGUACGAGCGUUGUCCGGAAUUAUUGGGCGUAAAGAGCUCGUAGGUGGUUGGUCACGUCUGCUGUGGAAACGCAACGCUUAACGUUGCGCGUGCAGUGGGUACGGGCUGACUAGAGUGCAGUAGGGGAGUCUGGAAUUCCUGGUGUAGCGGUGAAAUGGGCAGAUAUCAGGAGGAACACCGGUGGGGAAAGCGGGAUUCUGGGGUGUAAUUGAGACUGAGGAGGGAAAACAUGGGGGAGAGAAAAAGAUUAGAUAACCUGGUAGGAAUGCGGUAUAAAUUGUGGGGUAUGUGUGGGGAGGGUUGUAAGUUGUGCGGGCCGUAGGUAAUUAAUUAAUUGUGUGGCGGGUGUAGGAUAGUGGGGUAGGUGGGGUAAAAGAAAUUAAUGGAGGGGGGU
rnacentral:rRNA from 1 species